rnacentral:rRNA from 1 species
AGCGAACGUUAGCGGCGGGCCUAACACAUGCAAGUCGAACGCGAAAGGUCUUCGGACUGAGUAGAGUGGCGCACGGGUGAGUAACACGUAGGUAAUCUACCCUUUGGCGGGGGAUAACGUUCCGAAAGGAGCGCUAAUACCGCAUAAGACCACGGAGUCUCCGGACGCUGUGGGAAAAGGUGGCCUCUUCUUGAAAGCUACCACCGAAGGAUGAGCCUGCGUCCCAUCAGCUAGUUGGUAAGGUAAUGGCUUACCAAGGCGAAGACGGGUAGCUGGUUUGAGAGAAUGAUCAGCCACACUGGCACUGGAACACGGGCCAGACUCCUACGGGAGGCAGCAGGGAGGAAUAUUGGGCAAUGGGCGAAAGCCUGACCCAGCCACGCCGCGUGAGUGAUGAAGGCCCUCGGGUCGUAAAGCUCUGUGGAGAGGGACGAAAACCCUGGUUUCAAAUAGGCUCCAGGCUUGACGGUACCUCUUUAGCAAGCACCGGCUAACUCUGUGCCAGCAGCCG